ensembl:lncRNA
UGGGGUUUUUUUUGGGGGGGAGAUUUUGGGGUUUUUUUGGGGUUUUUGGGGUUUUUUUGGGGAGGUUUUGGGGUUUUUUUGGGGAAGUUUUGGGGGUUUUUUUGGUUGGUUUUGGGGGUGUUUUGUAGGGUGGGAUUUUUGGGGGAGGUUUGGGGUGUUUUUACGGUGUUUUCUGGGGGUUUUAGGGGUGUUUUUGCCGUGUUUUUUUUUUGUGUUUUCUGCCUGUUUUGGGCUGUUUCUCUGCCUGUUUUUCUGCCUGUUCUGGGGUGUUUUUGUGGCUGUUUUGGGCUGGUUUUCUGCCUGUUUUUGUGGUGUUUUUCUGCCUGUUUUUCUGCCUGUUUUUCUGCCUGUUUUUCUGCCUGUUUUUCUGCCUGUUUCUGGGCUGUUCUUCUGUGUGUUUUUCUGCCUGUUUCCUGUGUGUUUUCUGUCUGUUUUUGGGCUGUUUUUGUGGCUGUUUUUCUGCCUGUUUCCUGUGUGUUUUCUGCCUGUUUUCUGUGUGUUUUCUGCCUGUUUUCUGUGUGUUUUCUGGCUGUUUUUGAGGUGUUUUUCUGCCUGUUUUUGGGCUGUUUUUCUGCCUGUUUUUCUGCCUGUUUUGGGGUGUUUUUCUGCCUGUUUUGGGGUGUUUUCCCGGCUGUUUUGGGGGUGUUUUUCCGGCUGUUUUUGGGGUGUUUUUCUCCCUGUUCUUGGGGUGUUUUUCUGGCUGUUCUGCCUGUUUUGGGGUGUUUUUCUGUGUGUUUUCUGCCUGUUUUCCGUCUGGUUUUGGGCUGUUUUUCUGCCUGUUUUCUGCCUGGUUUUGGGCUGUUUUCUGCCUGUUUUUCUGCCUGUUUUCUGUGUGUUUUCUGCCUGUUUCCUGUGUGUUUUCUGCCUGUUUCCUGUGUGUUUUCCCGGCUGUUUUUGGGGUGUUUUUCUGCCUGUUUUUGGGCUGUUUUCCUGGCUGUUUUCUGCCUGUUUUUCUGCCUGUUUUCUGCCUGUUUUUCUGCCUGUUUCCUGUGUGUUUUCUGCCUGUUUCCUGUGUGUUUUCUGCCUGUUUUGUGGUGUUUUUCUCCCUGUUUUCUGCCUGUUUUUCUGCCUGUUUUGGGGUGUUUUUCUGCCUGUUUUUCUGCGUGUUUUCUGCCUGUUUUCUGUGUGUUUUUCUGCCUGUUUUUCCGCCUGUUUUUCUGCCUCUUUUCUGCCUGUUUUGGGCUGUUUUUCUGCCUGUUUCCUGUGUGUUUUCCCGCCUGUUUUUGGGGUGUUUUUCUGCCUGUUUUGGGGUGUUUUCCCGGCUGUUUUUGGGGUGUUUUUCUGCCUGUUUUGGGGUGUUUUUCUGCCUGUUUUCUGCCUGUUUUCUGUGUGUUUUCCCGUCUGUUUCCUGUGUGUUUUCCCGGCCGUGGCGGGGCUCCCGGGUACCGAUCAUGCGGUGGAACACCUCCUGCAGGUCCUCGGUGUCCCUGAGGAAGAAGAGGUGCUGCUCCCCCGCCUUGUGCGACGCCAGCGCGUUCAGCGUCUCGGCGUGAGCGUCCUCGCCCAGCCCGAAGGCGUAAACGUCUGCCGGGGCGGGAGAAACGGGGUCAGGGCGGACUGGGACACCCCGAAACGCACCGGGAAUGCACGGAAACACCCGGAAACACCCAAAAACAACCCGGAAACACCCAAAAACAACCCGGAAACACCCAGAAACACCCCAAAAUGCACCGGAAACAGCCCGAAACACCCCAAAAACACCCCGAAACGCACCGGGAACGCCCGGAAACACCCGGAAACACCCGGAAACACCCAAAAACAACCUGGAAACACCCAGAAAUACCCCCAAAACACCCCGAAACGCACCGGGAACGCGUGGAAACACCCGGAAACACCCAAAAACACCCAAAAACAACCCUGAAACACCCAAAAACAACCCAGAAACACCCAGAAACACCCCAAAACGCACCGGAAACAGCCCGAAACACCCCAAAAACACCCCGAAACGCACCGGGAACGCGCGGAAACACCCAAAAACAACCCGGAAACACCCAGAAAUACCCCAAGAACACCCCAAAACACACCGGGAACACCCAGAAAGACCCCGAAAACACCCCAAAACACACCGGAAACACCCAGAAACACCCUGAAACACCCAAAAACAACCCGGAAACACCCCAAAACACCCUGAAAUACACCGAAACCACACCAAAACACCGCAGGACACCCCAGAGGUCCCCCAGAACCCC